rnacentral:tRNA from 2 species
UGGUUGUUAGAUUAAUGGUAAAUCAUAGAUCUUACACAUCUACUAUAGUGGUUCAAUUCCACUACAGCCAA